AACCAAAGAAGAAGAAAAAAU
rnacentral:sRNA from 1 species